rnacentral:rRNA from 1 species
GCUGGCGGCAUGCCUAACACAUGCAAGUCGAACGGUAACAGGUCUUCGGAUGCUGACGAGUGGCGGACGGGUGAGUAAUGCGUAGGAAUCUGUCUUUUAGUGGGGGACAACCCAGGGAAACUUGGGCUAAUACCGCAUGAGCCCUGAGGGGGAAAGCGGGGGAUCUUCGGACCUCGCGCUAAGAGAGGAGCCUACGUCCGAUUAGCUAGUUGGCGGGGUAAAGGCCCACCAAGGCGACGAUCGGUAGCUGGUCUGAGAGGACGACCAGCCACACUGGGACUGAGACACGGCCCAGACUCCUACGGGAGGCAGCAGUGGGGAAUUUUUCGCAAUGGGGGCAACCCUGACGAAGCAAUGCCGCGUGGAUGAAGAAGGCCUUCGGGUUGUAAAGUCCUUUCGUGGAGGACGAAAAGGCGGGUUCUAAUACAAUCUGCUGUUGACGUGAAUCCAAGAAGAAGCACCGGCUAACUCCGUGCC